ensembl:lncRNA
GAAAGCUUCAACACCUGGUUUAUUAUCAGGCACUGAUGGGCGCCUCUGGAAAGUGGAAGGAACUAAGACAAACAGAAGGACCAGCCGGUCUGGUCCAGAGCUGCUUUUCUCUCACUUGGGGCUGCCUGCUGUACAAUUCAGUCUGGGUUUCCGAUGAUGAGCUGAAGUCUUCUGGCCACUGAGCUCCUGAAAGGCUGGUAGGAAAACCCUGCACAUACGUGCCUUUUAGACCCCUGUAAGGAAAGUGCAAGGGCUCUCUUUGGGCAGAGCUGGCAGGGAUGGCCAAGAUUAGGGAGGGUCUGGGAACAGAGACUUGGGGGAAAACUCUGCCACCCCAGCCUGCCUGCCCCUCAUGGUCUCCCUGAGACAGUUUCUCUACAGUCAGAGCACCUGCAUGCACCUACUGUCCCCAGAGCUUUCGGAAAGGACGCAUGGCUAGCAGCCACCCCUCGCCGGAACCUUUGCCCAGGUUGCCUGAGUGCGUGGUUGGGAGGAGCUGGGGGCAAGAAGCAGGGAUCGUCGGGCAGAGUAGGGGUCGGGAAAGUGGGGCCGAAGUGGAAGCGGCUUCGUUGCUACGAGCAGCCCUAGCAACGCACCCAUUCAGCAGAGACAAAGGCACAGAGGCGCUGCAGUGGCUCUUGUUCUCGCAGACCGUUGUGCUUGCGGGUGGGGGCGGGGUGGAGGGGGGGUUGGGCCUGUCGGGUGAGGGGCGGCUGCGCGCUCUGAUCUUGCCUAGCCCUGCGCCCCUGAUCUGCCUGCAGGGGGCGCUUCGGCCCCUUUUAGCGGACCAGAAGCUGAACAUUCAAGGCUGCCUGCCACAAACCUUGGUCUGUGGAUCACACCCCUAUGACUAUUGCUACGUCUCAGAUGCCGCAUCUGUACAGGUCAGGCUGUGGGCUCAGCAUGCGUGCACGGCAGUGGGUGCUGGAUACAGUGACCAUUACAACAUGGACCAGGAUGUAAGUAUUUGCCUGGAGGUUGGGUGCCAGUGAGCAAGAGGAAUCACCUCUUCCCAACAUGCCCCUUCCUUGUAGCACCCACACCUCCCAGCUCACAGUCAGCACAAACAGAACGGGCCCCACAAAGGAUGGCAUCCGUGUGAACAUUGAGCUAGCAGUGUCCAGAAGUCACAUAGUCAUGAGGGUGCAAUGCUAGAGUGAUGGCCACAAUGGCCACAGGAAUGCCUAGGGAAGGAGGAAAUAGACUCAGG